GACGAACGCUGGCGGCGUGCUUAACACAUGCAAGUCGAACGGAAAGGCUCCAGCUUGCUGGAGUACUCGAGUGGCGAACGGGUGAGUAACACGUGGGUAAUCUGCCCUGCACUCUGGGAUAAGCCUGGGAAACUGGGUCUAAUACUGGAUAUGACCUUUCUCCUUAUGGGGUUUGGUGGAAAGUUUUUCGGUGUAGGAUGAGCCCGCGGCCUAUCAGCUUGUUGGUGGGGUGAUGGCCUACCAAGGCGACGACGGGUAGCCGGCCUGAGAGGGUGAUCGGCCACAUUGGGACUGAGAUACGGCCCAGACUCCUACGGGAGGCAGCAGUGGGGAAUAUUGCACAAUGGGCGGAAGCUUGAUGCAGCGACGCCGCGUGAGGGAUGACGGCCUUCGGGUUGUAAACCUCUUUCAGCAGGGACGAAGCGUAAGUGACGGUACCUGCAGAAGAAGCACCGGCUAAUUAUGUG
rnacentral:rRNA from 1 species